UUAUUUGCCCGACCCCUGUCUGCUCAGUUUUAGGUUGGGGUGACCACGGAGUAUAAAGUAACCUCCAUGAAGAAGGGGAUAUUUCCCUUAUUAGAGAACCACACUUCCAAGAACUAAUAAAUUAAUUUUCAAUGACCCGAUACCCGAUAAUCGAUCAACGAACCAAGUUACCCUGGGGAUAACAGCGCANUCCACCCUGAAAGCCCUUAUUAACAGGUGGGUUUACGACCUCGAUGUUGGAUCAGGGUAUCCCAGUGGUGCAGCAGCUACUGAGGGUUCGUUUGUUCAACGAUUAAAACCCU
rnacentral:rRNA from 1 species